rnacentral:rRNA from 1 species
CCUACGGGUGACAGCAGUGGGGGAUAUUGCACAAUGGGGGGAACCCUGAUGCAGCGACGCCGCGUGGGUGAAGGAGCGUUUCGGCGCGUAAAGCCCUAUCUGCAGGGGAGAAGGAGGGCGGUACCUGACUAAGAAGCCCCGGCUAACCACGUGCCAGCAGCCGCGGUAAUACGGAGGGGGCAAGCGUUAUCCGGAUUUACUGGGUGUAAAGGGGGCGCAUACGGGAGCGCAAGCCAGGAGGGAAAGCCCGGGGGCCAAACCCGGGACUGCGCUUGGAACUGCGGGGCUGGAGUGGGGGAGGGGAAGGCGGAAUGCGUGGUGUAGCGGUGAAAUGCGUAGAUAUCAGGAGGAACACCGGUGGCGAAGGCGGCCUGCCGG